CCUACGGGAGGCAGCAGUGGGGAAUAUUGGACAAUGGGGGGAACCCUGAUCCAGCCAUGCCGCGUGUGUGAAGAAGGCCCUCGGGUUGUAAAGCACUUUCAGUGAGGAAGAACGCCUGGUGGUUAAUACCCAUCAGGAAAGACAUCACUCACAGAAGAAGCACCGGCUAACUCCGUGCCAGCAGCCGCGGUAAUACGGAGGGUGCGAGCGUUAAUCGGAAUUACUGGGCGUAAAGCGCGCGUAGGUGGCGUGAUAAGCCGGUUGUGAAAGCCCCGGGCUCAACCUGGGAACGGCAUCCGGAACUGUCAAGCUAGAGUGCAGGAGAGGAAGGUAGAAUUCCCGGUGUAGCGGUGAAAUGCGUAGAGAUCGGGAGGAAUACCAGUGGCGAAGGCGGCCUUCUGGACUGACACUGACACUGAGGUGCGAAAGCGUGGGUAGCAAACAGGAUUAGAUACCCCAGUAGUC
rnacentral:rRNA from 1 species